rnacentral:misc_RNA from 1 species
GAAGAGGCGACUGUCCCUCUUUCCUUGAUGGUCUUCGGACAUAGACACUCUGAGUUUUGACGCCGGGGUGCGAACAAGGCUGCUGUUGCUCCUGGUGCAUGUGUAGAAGCCCCGAAUCGUUUCUUUUUUUUUUAGUAGACCUCUCAGCUGAACAAGUCUCUAGCGAUAAUCGCCGCGGGUGGUGUGGGGUGCGCGUGUCUCCAUUACGACGUCCCCGGAGGGUCCGUAUACUUUCCACACACGAGAAGUAAGCGACACACAAUGGGUAGCGGGUAUCUGAAGCGGAAGCGGCAGCGCCAGGAGCUGCUGAACGACUUCUACUCUGCUCUGUCGUCCUCGUCAUUUGACACUACUGGUGACCAAUUUAGCAAGCUGGUGACGCGCACCGUUUACCACUACCCCUCGUCCCUCCCGUUCCCCGUGCUCCUCGAUGACGACUUCCCCGCUGAGCCGUACCGAUCCCGUAACAAGGACAUUAAGAGCGCCAUCCACUGGGGACAGCGUAAACUUCUUCUCUCUGAGAUUCAACUCCUCUCCAUGUACUGCCGGCCAGAGAUCUCGUAUCACAUCGUGUAUGCUGGCGCCGCUCCUGGGACCCAUUUGGCGUUUCUGGACGAGAUGUUCUCGUGCCGGCACACGUGGGAGCUGAUCGACCCCGGCCAGUUUGACCGAGCGGUGCUGGAGCCGCGCGCAAACUUCAGGUUGCGCAACGAGUUCUUCACCAACGCGACAGCGUACGGCAUCAACGCGCGCCGCCUCACCGAAGUCCUCCCAGCACUUGGCUUUGUAUACCAGAACGCUGCGGUUGACAGUGUGCAGACUGACAAGAAGGCGAUUCACGAGCAGCUUCAGGGCAUUGUUGGCACGCUGGACGUGGCCCGUGGUACCGAGGAUAUCCCUGCCAUGUACGAAGCGCCGCUGUCGCUUCCUAAAGGCUUGGAGCUGCUGUCGCAGGUUGCGCUGGAGCGCAAUAAGCCUCUGCUCUUCAUCUCGGAUAUCCGCUCCGGCAGUGUGGCGCUGCCGAACUUCGAGGACCACGUGGCAGAGAACAUGCGCGCGCAGGAGUGCUGGACAAACAUCUUGCACGGCGAGCACAGCAUGCUUAAGUUCCGCCUUCCCUACACCAGCAAAUCGACUAAGUUCGGCGGCCAGGGCGCCGUGCGUGAAACGCGCCUGAUUCGCGAGGACGGCACUGUCCCUUAUCUACGUGGUGACCUGCUGCUUCCCAUCUGGACGCGGCCAACAAGCACGGAGGGUCGGCUUGUGGUGCCACAAGGCGCCUUCCAGAAGGACUACAACGUAGCCCACGUGGAGGACCAAUUCUUCUUCUUCAACUCUAGGGUUCGGGAGCAAGUACACUUCAAUCACCUGGUCGUUCAUGACGGCGAGCUCGAUCAUCACUACGACGCCGCAGCGGAGGUGCACUGCCUCCUUACCUACUUGCGCUUUAUACGGCCAGAGCUGAAGACCGCGAAAACGGGGGAGCUGCGAAAGGAGGUUCUGCGCGUGGCGCACUCCAUCACGGCGCACCUUGGCAUCACUUUUGAGGAUGCUAUUCGUCGUCGCGACGCACUUAUGAUCAACCACGCCAAGAAGAGUCAGAACAAGGCGGUGGAGGGCCACAAGGACGACGCUUACGGCGACGAGGAAGUGGAGGAGCAGGAGGCGAAGAGUGCUGCAUCCAAGGUGCGCGCUGGCUCGAACGAGAGCGCCGCGGCGGCGGACGGCGCUGCUGCUGGCACAACAGCGCCGGUGCCGCUGUCGGAGUGGGAGCAGACGACGCGACUCAUGGUGCGUCUGUCAAACUACGACCGCAACCGGUCGGUGUGGAGCCGGAACGUGAGAGAGGAGGAGCACAGCAAGACUAGCGGUCUUUGGGUGACUACGAAGAUGCCACAGGCGUGAAAGGGCAAGUGAUAAAGACAUCGUAGAAGCCUUCGCAAAGUCGUUGGCCGUCUCCGCUCAUCGCCGCUCUCCGCGCGUAUUGUUGUCAUGGGCUUUUUCCUCGUCGUUGCUCACGAAUUGCGCGACCGCAAGCGGCACUCUGGCACCGCCGCCUGUGCGAGUGUUCCACGACUCUUCUCUCACCUCAGCGUGUGUUGACAGUGCAUGCACGCGCCUUCAGAUCUCUAUCUUCGCGGCCACUUUGGCGAGCCGGUUCGGGGUAGUUUCGCGCUUUCCAAGCUGUGGCGCUGCGUGACUGCACAAGAAGAAAUGCACGCAGGUGGUGACGCUUGUGUGGAGAGAGAACACAGGUCUGCGGCAAGAGUGGUCCAGCGAGAAGGUGCGCGAUGCGUGUCUGCGCACGCACACAAGUGGCCGCUAAGGCAGACACGAUGCACCAACGACUGCCCCCUCCCCCUCUUUCCCCUCCCCCUCCCCCAAACACACGGAGACACAACAGCUGGGGUAAACGCGCGCGUGGAGAAGAUGGAGUUAGGGAGAUGGUGCCCUCUUGGCCUCUGCUGCCUUCGCCCCUUUGCGUGUGUGUGUGUAUGCGCCUGCGCACGUGCGUACGCUCCUCGUCUACGCCGCUCUCCGUCGACGUCGUUCUCUUUCUCCUUGAACUUCGGUUGUGCUUCCUGUUCUUCGCCGCCGGCUCUGUCGGUCUUACCUUUGCUUUCGUUUUGUGCCUUCGCCCCUCGUUUUCGUUCUACUCUCUUCUUCCCCUCUUCUCCAUGGCGCCACGUGCCCCGACUCCUCUACAACGGCGGCGCCACAG